rnacentral:tRNA from 2 species
GCCCGCUUGGCUUAGUGGUACAGCGUCGCACUCGUAAUGCGAAGAUCCGCGGUUGUAGGUCUACUCCAAGUUCGAAAACAGGUUCGUCCGACUAAUUUAUCUUAGCGAUUCCGCGAGUGGGCA